rnacentral:lncRNA from 1 species
GAUAUUGUCACCUAGAUAACAAAGCACAGGGAAAGGACACGCUAUACUCAGACCUAGAUACUGUAAUCCUGGGAUAAAGGCGCAAGCUAUUUCCAGCAACAUCACUAUUUGCACUAUUGAGCAGCAAUUGUUCAGCAUGCAAGUGCCUAAGUCCAUGCCAAAGGGAGAGAAAAGGCAAAACAACCAGUAGAAGCGGCACACGCUGAUGUGCACAUGCAGGAGGUACAGUACAGUUCAGAAAAGACUGCUUUGUGAUGACGUAAAGAUGAGUGGGUGUGGCAUCUCCAGCAUUCCCAAAUCAAGUUUCCAUGCCAUGCAUCAUGAAUGGUUAGAGACUGGCU